GUUUAUUCAAGUUUUGUGAAUUUUCCAAUAAUUUUAUUUUUUUUUCCUAGGAAAGAGUGAUAAUGAAGUGGAUUUUCUGGUUGUGUGUUGCAGAAGAUUGUUUUCUGAAUCUCAUAAGCAUGAAAAAGUGAUAGUGAAGUGCAUUUCUUGGUUGUGUUUUGCAGAAGAUUGUUUUCUGAAUCUCUUUAAGCCUAACUUAUUGCCAAACGAAUUGAAUUGGAGAUGGAUUCUUACGAAAAUUACAGG